rnacentral:lncRNA from 1 species
UCAUUUCUCAGGAACAUAGAGUACAAAACUCCGUUCCGCCUUCAAAAUCGGAUUCAAUUCAAAUGCUUAAGUUCAUUUAAUGGUCAAAACAUGAGAGAUUUCAAUUAAACCAAGACAGAUUCAAUAACAGGGGUUAACAGUGCAGAAUUUGCACUCAAAACUGUGAGACCUGCUGCCUAAAUAGUGUAAAACAGGGAAGAUUUUCAGCAGGCUAACAGUCCAAACAAAUGUCUCAAAAUACUGCACGUUAUCAGCUCAACUCACUGCUGAAAAUUGACUUUUUCAGCAGCUCGAAAGAGCAAAAUUAUUAGAGCAGUAACAAAGCAUACGAAUUUUGGACAAAAGAAAGAAAAUUGAGCAAGCCUGAACAUAUACAAACAGCGAAACAAUUUAGCUUCGACACCCCUUUAGACCAACGCUAAGCUAAACCAAACACAACAGGAAUGACCCAAUCCUUAAGAAGCUAUUGCUGAAAAUUAAAUCAAUUGUAUUCGGAUAGCCGAAGUUUAGACCAACUACUGCUUUAGAACAAGCAUUGAAUAGCUUAUCUUCGAGCAUUCGUAGCAUGUCUUGGUAAAUACCAUUGACUGAGCAACACAACAGCAACAAAGACGAUCAGUGUUAAUUUUAUAAGCUCAUAUUGCACUCGAGACGGGUGAGAAAUUCUGUAACUCAAUGAAUCGACAAACAACAACUAAGGUUUCAUGAAUCUGUUUCUAUGCUCAAAUUUAACAAACGAGUGGGAUGACUUCAUACAAAUGCAGCCAUAAUACCAGUGCAUACAAUCGCUCGCCCAAUACAGAAUAAACACACACAAAAAAAACCAAAAACAGACCUAAAUCAAGGCCAACAUGACUCAGCUUUUAAUCCAAACAACAAAUACUGACUUUCAGGCAGUCUUAGAUAAAAAAACAUAACAGAACAUGAGCACACGACACAGAAUCACGGAAGAAAAAUAUAAAUGAAGAAGAAAUGAACCUGGAAUCAAUAAAUACUUCCGAUAAACUUUGCUCGAAUCCUAGUUACAACUAAAAUCCAAUAUCUAACAGCAACCAGCAACAAAAAUGAGAAGGAGUCAGAAGCUCGGACAGCGACGAACUCAGCAAAUUUCAAUCGAACUCCCUUUUUCGAAUGAACUCCAGCCCAGAAAGAAGGAACCAAAUAUAUUUUUGAUUUUUUAGAAAUAAAAGGAAUCGAAAACCAAAACGGAAUUCAACUCCGAAAAGAAAACUCAAAACUUAGAGAAGAAGAAGAAGAAAAGACUAUUUUAAACCUCAGUUUUUCUCCAAAAUUCUUACCCGAAAGUCAUCCCCCCUUCUGAAAUCAGCCCUCCAUAUAUAUAGGCCUCCUCACGAGAUUUUCCCCUCUUUAAGAAAUCCGGAAAUUAGUCUUUUCUAGAAUGAACCCUGACAGAUGGAAAGAGGGGAUUGAUCCUUCAAUCAAUCCACGGCUCCCAUUUCCCGGAUUCCUUCUCAGAAAUUCCCAAACGAAAGAAGCACAUGAGGGAGGAAAAAUUGUCAGAAACUGUUAGAACCUUGCUGAGGUGGAGAUAUAAGGUGCGCGUGAAUUAGGGAUUUGGGAUCACUCACCAUGGAUUUGGCCUGAAAUGGGACUGGAUUCGAGUGAAGAAGGCGAUGGAACAGUUCGCGUUUGGGUUAGAGAUUUAGGGGUCUCCGUAUGAUUGUAUUUGCGUGUGUAUAUAUGGACAGAUCGGGUCGUGGGCAAGGAGGGGGUGAUUUGGGCCGGAUUGGGGAUUAAA